GACCAAGAUUUGAUUUAUUUGGUUUCAGAAUGAAAGUGAUGAAUGAAAUGAGUAGAAGAUGGGUCACGACCAAGAUUUGAUUUAUUUGGUUUCAGAAUGAAAGUGAUGAAUGAAAUGAGUAGAAGAUGGGUCACGACCAAGAUUUGAUUUAUUUGGUUUCAGAAUGAAAGUGAUGAAUCAACUAUUUGAAGAAUACAACAAAAGUUGGCUUUUUUUCUGUCAUGAAGGAAGAUUGAUGAUUUAUUUAAAGAAUACAACCAAGGUUAUCUUUCAGAUGAAUGAUGUACAAGUUUCUAGAUGGAUGAAGUGUUUGAAGAAUAUAGCAAAG